UACGUAGGGGGCAAGCGUUGUCCGGAAUCAUUGGGCGUAAAGAGCGUGUAGGCGGCCCGAUAAGUCCGCUGUGAAAGUCCAGGGCUCAACCCUGGGAUGCCGGUGGAUACUGUCGGGCUCGAGUCCGGAAGAGGAGUGUGGAAUUCCUGGUGUAGCGGUGAAAUGCGCAGAUAUCAGGAGGAACACCAACGGCGAAGGCAGCUUUCUGGACAGUAACUGACUCUGAGGCACGAAGGCUAGGGGAGCGAACGGG
rnacentral:rRNA from 1 species